rnacentral:rRNA from 1 species
AACGUAGGAGACAAGCGUUAUCCGAAUUUACUGGGCGUAAAGCGCAAGCAGGUGGUUAGGUAAGUUGAAUGUGAAAUCUCCUGGCUCAACUGGGAGGGGCCGUUCAAGACUGCCUGGCUAGAGGGCGGUAGAGGGAGGUGGAAUUCCCGGUGUAGUGGUGAAAUGCGUAGAUAUCGGGAGGAACACCUGUGGCGAAAGCGGCCUCCUGGACCGUACCUGACGCUAAGAUGCGAAAGCUAGGGGAGUGAACGGG